rnacentral:rRNA from 1 species
AGAGUUUGAUCCUGGCUCAGAUUGAACGCUGGCGGCAUGCUUUACACAUGCAAGUCGAACGGCAGCGGGGGUUUAAGCUUGCUUAGACCUGCCGGCGAGUGGCGAACGGGUGAGUACAACAUCGGAACGUGUCCGAUUGUGGGGGACAACUGCUCGAAAGGGUAGCUAAUACCGCAUAAGACCUGAGGGUGAAAGUGGGGGAUCGCAAGACCUCACGCGAACGGAGCGGCCGAUGACUGAUUAGGUAGUUGGUGAGGUAAAGGCCCACCAAGCCGACGAUCAGUAGCUGGUCUGAGAGGACGACCAGCCACACUGGAACUGAGACACGGUCCAGACUCCUACGGGAGGCAGCAGUGGGGAAUUUUGGACAAUGGGGGAAACCCUGAUCCAGCCAUGCCGCGUGCGGGAAGAAGGCCUUCGGGUUGUAAACCGCUUUUGUCAGGGACGAAAAGUCGUAUUUGAACAAAGUACGAUGCUGACGGUACCUGAAGAAUAAGCACCGGCUAACUACGUGCCAGCAGCCGCGGUAAUACGUAGGGUGCAAGCGUUAAUCGGAAUUACUGGGCGUAAAGCGUGCGCAGGCGGUUGGAUAAGACAGAUGUGAAAUCCCCGGGCUUAACCUGGGAACAGCAUUUGUGACUGUCUGACUGGAGUAUGUCAGAGGGGGGUGGAAUUCCACGUGUAGCAGUGAAAUGCGUAGAUAUGUGGAAGAACACCGAUGGCGAAGGCAGCCCCCUGGGGCAAAACUGACGCUCAUGCACGAAAGCGUGGGGAGCAAACAGGAUUAGAUACCCUGGUAGUCCACGCCCUAAACGAUGUCUACUGGUUGUUGGGGAGUUAAAUCCUCAGUAACGAAGCCAACGCGUGAAGUAGACCGCCUGGGGAGUACGGUCGCAAGAUUAAAACUCAAAGGAAUUGACGGGGACCCG